GUGAUAAAGCUCCACAACCAUAUUACGUAUUACAUCAAUGGUAGACAUAUAUCAUCAUCGUGCCUUUAUUCCAUACAUAAAGUGUUAGAUUACGGGUCAUGGAUUGUCCAUGCGGACCGACCUAAUUCAAUCCAGUCUUUUUUUUGUUUUAAUUAUCUAUUAAGUUACUGAGUAACUGGCUUAUCCACCCACCACUGUACAUAUACGCUACUUUCUUCUAUUUAAAGACAGAGGAGUGAAAAACAAAAUUCCGAGAAAGAAACAACAAAAACAUCAACAAAAAAUUCAAAGAGGAGGCUUUUUAGUUUGUGAAUCAACUCUCCGUUUCCUAGAGAGACUAAGAUUGACUUUGAGCAAUUGUGUCAGUAGAAAAUUCAAUACUUUCGCUGCAACAGAUUAAGAAAUGGCUGAACGGGGACAAACUCGAAUCACUCCAAGUGGGAGUUCUGGAUAUCGAGCAAAGAGACAAGGUAGAAGAGUACGUCGUCGAAGAGAAUGUUUUCGAGGUCGUGAGAUCAUAUGAAAUGGUGUUCCCACGACGACACAAAUCUUUUACGGAAUGAAAGAGUUAUACGAAGGGAAAGAGAAAAGAAAUUGAAAGAGUUCAAGUCUUUUAAGAUGUCACCUAACAUAAGUGUUGCUAGUUUUAUACAUCUAUUUGAAAUGAAACGUGUAGAACUAGAAAAUUAUGUAGAAAUCUUGGAUUGGGAAGCAUUAGCUAUUUUAGCAAAUUCUCUCCGUGACCCUUGGGGCGAGAGAUUAAUUGAUGUUUACCACGAGAUUUGGCCUAGCGAGACUUUUUGGGUGUACAUAAGUCGUCUAGAAUAUUUGUGGAAUGACUUUUAUUUU